GACGAACGCUGGCGGCGUGCUUAACACAUGCAAGUCGAACGGAAAGGCCCUGCUUUUGUGGGGUGCUCGAGUGGCGAACGGGUGAGUAACACGUGAGUAACCUGCCCUUGACUUUGGGAUAACUUCAGGAAACUGGGGCUAAUACCGGAUAGGAGCUCCUGCUGCAUGGUGGGGGUUGGAAAGUUUCGGCGGUUGGGGAUGGACUCGCGGCUUAUCAGCUUGUUGGUGGGGUAGUGGCUUACCAAGGCUUUGACGGGUAGCCGGCCUGAGAGGGUGACCGGCCACAUUGGGACUGAGAUACGGCCCAGACUCCUACGGGAGGCAGCAGUGGGGAAUAUUGCAGAAUGGGCGGAAGCCUGAUGCAGAAACGCCGCGUGCGGGAUGACGGCCUUCGGGUUGUAAACCGCUUUCGCCUGUGACGAAGCGUGAGUGACGGUAAUGGGUAAAGAAGCACCGGCUAACUACGUG
rnacentral:rRNA from 1 species